GCCAGGGACAGUGGUGCAUGCCUGUAAUCCCAGCUACAUGGAAGGCUGAGGCUGGAGGAUCACUUGAGCCCAGGAGUUCUGGGCUAUAGUACACUAUGCCGAUUGGGUGUCCACACUAAGUUCGGCAUCAAUAUGGUGACCUCCCGGGAGUGGGGGACCAUCAGGUUGCCUAAGGAGGGGUGAACCAGCCCAGGUCGGAAAUGGAGCAGGUCAAAACUCUUGUGCUGAUCAGUAGUGGGAUCGCGCCUGUGAAUAGCCACUGCACUCCAGCCUGGGCAACAUAGCGAGACCUCGUCUCU
rnacentral:SRP_RNA from 1 species